rnacentral:lncRNA from 12 species
GGUUUGCAUGUUUUUUUUUUUUUUUUGCAAAAGAGAAAUAUAGCUAUGAUAUUAAAGCAAAGAAUAUAAAAUAUAAGUGCAAACAUUUGAAACAUUUGGUUUUAUAAUAAAAUUAUUGAAAUAAAUUAGAAUUUUUGUUCUCUAGUUUUUAGCAAUUCUUGAUAUACUGUAUCGUGUUGAAGAGAGAAAUUUACACCACAUAUAUAUAUGGCUCUUCUAAUGUUGAUUUUUAUAGAAGAGGAUGGAUUCACUAAAUCAUUCAUGAAAUGUUUUUAGCAAUUCUUGAUAUACUGUAUUGUGUUGAAGAGAGAAAUUUACACCACAUAUAUAUAUGGCUCUUCUAAUGUUGAUUUUUAUAGAAGAGGAUGGAUUCACUAAAUCAUUCAUGAAAUGAACCUUCAGUGGAUAAGUAAAGGGAAGAUAGUAAUUCUACAUUAUGUUAGGU